AGUCGAGGGGAACGGCAUCAAGCGCUUGCGCCUGAUGGACGUCGACCGGCGCACGGGUGAGUAACGCGUAUCCAACCUGCCCCACACUAAGGGACAACCCGCAGAAAUGUGGGCUAAUACCUUAUAUUUUCCACCAAGGGCAUCGUCGAUGGAACAAAGAUUUAUCGGUAUGGGAUGGGGAUGCGUCCGAUUAGGUUGUUGGCGGGGUAACGGCCCACCAAGCCAUCGAUCGGUAGGGGUUCUGAGAGGAAGGUCCCCCACAUAGGAACUGAGACACGGUCCUAACUCCUACGGGAGGCAGCAGUGAGGAAUAUUGGUCAAUGGGCGGGAGCCUGAACCAGCCAAGUAGCGUGCAGGAAGACGGCCCUACGGGUUGUAAACUGCUUUUAUGCGGGGAUAAAGGAGUCCACGUGUGGGCUUUUGCAGGUACCGCAUGAAUAAGGACCGGCUAAUUCCGUGCCAGCAGCCGCGGUAAUACGGAAGGUCCGGGCGUUAUCCGGAUUUAUUGGGUUUAAAGGGAGCGUAGGCCGCGUUUUAAGCGUGUUGUGAAAUGUAGGCGCCCAACGUCUGCAUCGCAGCGCGAACUGGAACGCUUGAGUACGCGCAACGUUGGCGGAAUUCGUCGUGUAGCGGUGAAAUGCUUAGAUAUGACGAAGAACUCCGAUUGCGAAGGCAGCUGACGGGAGCGGCACUGACGCUUAAGCUCGAAGGUGCGGGUAUCAAACAGGAUUAGAUACCCUGGUAGUCCGCACGGUAAACGAUGGAUGCUCGCUGUGUGCCUUUUAUGGUACGCGGCUAAGCGAAAGC
rnacentral:rRNA from 1 species